CACCAUCUGUCCACAGAGCCCAGAAGCAAGAGCAGACUCUGCUGUGGCUCCCUCUGCUCCUGGAGAAGAGGCCAAAGAGGAGCAAAAUGAGCAAAAGGAGCACGAGCCUCCAGCUGUGGUCACAGCCCAGCCUGACCAUGCCCAGACAAUCCUUCUAGAGAAAGAGCAGGAGCAGAUUGUUUUAUCAGGACGGCCGUGCCAGCCUGAGGGAGAGCUGUUCCCAGCCCAAGAGCAGGAAGAGCAGCUGGGGCAGCAGGUGGAAGAGCCACUGGAGAAUGGCCAGAACAUCGAGGCAGAGCCCCAGGCAGAGCUGCCCGAAGCUCCGAUGGCCAUCAUGGCAGUGAAGAGGAGGCCUGAGGAAGAAAGGAGAAUCAUCCAAGAAAAAUUUCAUCUCCUCGCUCAGCAGCAAGAGGCUCUAGAAAAUCGAGUGGACGUGUUGAUAUCUCACCUGGCAGCCUGCGAAGGCUUCCAGCAAAUGCCUGCUGAUGAAGAGCCCCAAGGUCGGCGGGAGGCACAGGUACUGUCCCAAGCACAAGUGCUGCAGGCUGAGCACCUUCUGAAGAUGGUGCAGGAAAAGAGGACUGAGGGGGAGGAGCUCCAACAUUAGAACAAGGAGCUGCAAAUGUGUCUGCAGCCCUUGGAGGGGGAAAGGGAUCCUUGGGAGGAAGUGCAAUGGUCGUUGUUGCAGUCAUCCU
rnacentral:lncRNA from 1 species